rnacentral:misc_RNA from 1 species
CCCGUCAAUUCAUUUAAGUUUUAAUCUUGCGACCGUACUCCCCAGGCGGAAUGCUUAAAGCGUUAGCGGCGCCACUGAGGUGCAUGCACCCCAACGGCUAGCAUUCAUCGUUUACAGCGUGGACUACCAGGGUAUCUAAUCCUGUUUGCUCCCCACGCUUUCGCGCCUCAGCGUCAGAACCGGACCAGACAGCCGCCUUCGCCACUGGUGUUCUUGCGAAUAUCUACGAAUUUCACCUCUACACUCGCAGUUCCGCUGUCCUCUUCCGGUCUCAAGCCAAUCAGUAUCGAAGGCCAUUCCGUGGUUGAGCCACGGGCUUUCACCCUCGACUAAAUCAGCCGCCUACGCGCCCUUUACGCCCAGUGAUUCCGAGCAACGCUAGCCCCCUUCGUAUUACCGC